UGGCGGACGGGUGAGUAACGCGUGGGUAACCUGCCUCACACUGGGGGAGUAACAGUUAGAAAUAGCUGCUAAUACCGCAUAAGCGCACAGUUCCGCAUGGAACAGUGUGAAAAACUCCGGUGGUGUGAGAUGGACCCGCGUCUGAUUAGCCAGUUGGCGGGGUAACGGCCCACCAAAGCGACGAUCAGUAGCCGGCCUGAGAGGGUGAACGGCCACAUUGGGACUGAGACACGGCCCAAACUCCUACGGGAGGCAGCAUG
rnacentral:rRNA from 1 species